rnacentral:misc_RNA from 1 species
GGAAGGAUCAUUACAAAAAAAAGUAAUAAAAGUAGGUCUGGCUUCCUUCCCAUGAAGAGUCUGCUCGAGAGGGGCCCGCUGCGUACGGAUUCCUGAGGGUGAUUCGCUAACGUCCGCCCGCGGGACCGGUGCGGUCAUUCUUAUGGAAUCCCGCGGUCAGCCAGGAGUAUGGCAUUAGUAUCCUGCCGUUGCACGCACUCUUUUUUGGCUCUCGCCCUUUCUUCUUUGCUGGUUAGAAUCCGGGGGGGGGGAGUCAGAUUGAAUUUACACUUUUUAAUAAACCCCACCGUGCAUUUAUUGAAAGAACCUUUACCCGAUCAAAUUGAUUGGGGAAAAAAAAAAGGAAAAGGGGAAAGACAAUAGUUUUUCCUCUUUGACUUUUUAACUUUUUGCCUAUAUAUUUUGACUGAACUUUUAUAAAAAUUUAAUACAACUUUCAACAACGGAUCUCUUGGCUCUCGCAUCGAUGAAGAACGCAGCGAACUGCGAUACCUAGUAUGAAUUGCAGAAUUCAGUGAAUCAUCGAGUUUUUGAACGCACAUUGCACUCAUUGGUUAGCCAUUGAGUAUGCCUGUUUCAGCGCUUCGUAAAGGGUGGCCCAUUGCGGGCCGAUUAUGGGCCUUUGCGGGAAUCCUUUAAGGAUUUCGGCUCGCCUGAAAAUCAUUUGUAAUUUGAAAUUCCUAUGCUUUUUCUUAUACUGAAAAAAGAAAUUCUGUAUGGCUCUGUGAGAGGGGCUUUUUUAAGGCUUUUCUCACUUGCCUGUUUGUGUGAUCAAUUCUUUUGGAGAUUUUGCUUUGUGGGAAUCUUUUUUUCCACUCGCUUAAACUUUCUUUCAAAAGAGAUUUGCAUGUGUUUUGGGCUUUGUGGGGGUUUUCACCCUUCACUUGCCUGUUUGAUCAUUUCUUUGAAGAUGUCGGGCUUUGGGAUGUAUUUUUCACUCGCCUGAUUUUACUUUCAGAGAAGAGAAAUAAACCAUGUUGUGGGCUUUGUGGAGAAUUUUUUCUUUACUUGCCUGAGAUCAGAUCAUUUUUCGAAAGAUUUACCAGGAUGUUAUGGAAGAUUUUUUCAUUACUUGCCUGAAGAAAAAAAUUUAUAACCUGGCUUUGGGUGGGGAAGAAGAAGGGGGAAGGGAGAGGGGGUGAGGGGAGAAAGGAGAGUAAGGGCGGUACGGUCAAGGUUUAGGGCAGGGAAGAAUUUAUUUUUCCUUUGUCUUGCUGGCGCCACUAAACUUUCUUUCUUUUUUUCUCUUUCCCCUAUUCUCGUGAGAGAGAGGGGGAUUAUUGUGUAAGAGAGGGGGGGAAACCUUCUAAACUUUUGUGCUUUUUUCUCCUGAUUGACUCUUUGCUUGGACCCACCGAUUUUCCACCGUCCCAGGCUUUUUUCUUUCUUUUCGGAGAUUUCUUAGGGCUAUGUAAACAAAGCCUUUUUUAAAAAAGCUUUGUUUACUCGCCUGAUCAUUUUUUUCUUUGAAAAGGCCCUCGGCGCUAUGUAAAAAUUCAAGGCGUCCUAGAUUGUUUUCUCAAGGGAAAUCUCCUAUUACGUCAAACUUUUCAUUUUGCCAAUUUAUGAGGUUGGAUUUCAAUAUUAUAAUAGCUCACAAUGCAAAAUUCCUUUCGGGGUUGGCAUUGCAGAGCAAAAUUAUAUUAUUUUCGUAAGAAAAUUUUAUAACUUCACAAGCAUGAAAUCAGGUAGGACUAACCCGCUGAACUUAAGCAUAUCAAUAAGCGGAGGAAAAGAAACUAACAAGGAUUCCCCUAGUAACGGCGAGUGAAGCGGGAAAAGCUCAAAUUUAAAAUCUGGCGUUCCUAACGCGGGCGUCCGAAUUGUAAUCUAUAGAAACGUUUUCGGAGGUUGCCCGGGUAUAAGUCCUUUGGAACAGGGCAUCAUGGAGGGUGAGAAUCCCGUCUUUGACCCGGAGCAUUGCCUCUAUGUGAUACGUUUCAAAGAGUCGGUUGUUUGGGAAUGCAGACCAAAAUGGGUGGUAAAUUCCAUCUAAAGCUAAAUAUAGGCGAGAGACCGAUAGCGAACAAGUACCGUGAGGGAAAGAUGAAAAGAACUUUGAAAAGAGAGUUAAACAGUACGUGAAAUUGUUGAAAGGGAAACGUUUGGAAUCAGUGUGGCGGCUGGGAAUCAGUCCCCUUCGGGUGGAUGUAUUUCCCUGCCUUAUCGCAGGUUAGCGUCGGUUUCGUUCGUCAGAAGACGUCCUCGGGAAAGUGGCUCUUCGGAGUGUUAUAGCCCUUGGUCUUUUGAGGUGACGUUUGGGACCGAGGCCCGCAGCCAGCUUUUUAUCUCCAAGGAGCGAGAGGCGCCGGUGUUGGGUGAUGCGUGUUCGUUGGUUCAGCUUGCUGACCGCGAGGGCUGCCUUGUCAUUCAAUCAUCCGUACCGCUUUUCAACUAACUGGCUUAGGUCGCUGACUUAAUGAUUAUAAACGACCCGUCUUGAAACACGGACCAAGGAGUCUAACAUGUCUGCAAGUAUUCGGGUGGUAAACCCAUAUGCGCAAUGAAAGUAAAGAGUGGAAUUUAUUUCACUUCAUGGUGGGAACCGACUUUAAUUAGGAGGUGCACCAUCGACCGAUCCGGAUAAUUUUUGAUGGAUUUGAGUUUGAGCAGACAUGCUGGGACCCGAAAGAUGGUGAACUAUGCCUGAAUAGGGUGAAGCCAGAGGAAACUCUGGUGGAGGCUCGUAGCGAUUCUGACGUGCAAAUCGAUCGUCAAAUUUGGGUAUAGGGGCGAAAGACUAAUCGAACCAUCUAGUAGCUGGUUCCUGC